rnacentral:rRNA from 1 species
CGGGUGAGUAACACGUGAGCAACCUACCUUACACAGGGGGAUAGCCGUUGGAAACGACGAUUAAUACCGCAUGAGACCACAGAAUCGCAUGAUAUAGGGGUCAGAGAUUUAUCGGUGUAAGAAGGGCUCGCGUCUGAUUAGCUAGUUGGAAGGGUAAAGGCCUACCAAGGCGACGAUCAGCAGCCGGUCUGAGAGGAUGAACGGCCACAUUGGAACUGAGACACGGUCCAA